UCUCCCAAGUUUUGUUUGGCUCAAGCCUCUUGUGUGUACAUAUUGUACAUCAUGCUGUAAUUAUUUCAUGCUAAUAUUUAAUUGGCCCUUACUGUACUUGGUUUUACCUGCAUCAGCAUCCUUGAAGCCUAGUAACACCUACCUCGCUUUUUUUUCUUGCAUACCUGAUGGAGUGUGUGCUACAACUGAAACCAUGGCACAGGAUUCUCAGUGUCAAGCUCACUGUGCUGCAACUGAAGCAGCGCUGUCUUUACCGGAUUAGGAUGGAUGGAUGAGCCUAUGACAUAUGCUUGUUCUUGGACAGGUUGUGUUAGCCAGGUGCUGGGAUGCAAUGUUGGACGGUGAUGUGCUCACAGGGAACAGGUUGCUGUGCAGUUGGUGGAGCGGAGAGUUCCUGAUGAUGCAACAUUAAGAAGGUGACCUGGAGGUUAGGUUAUGACAGCCGAGUUCGGCCGUCUAGAAUGGCAUGCUUUGGUUCUUAUGAUUUGACUCGAUGGAUGUUGUGUGAUGUAAUAGUCUUGCCGGUUUGUUUUCAUUAUCCUUUGGAUUCAGCUGCAGCCUCGUCAUUCUUGUAUGUGUUUUUUGGAAAAAUACUGGAAUAGACUUCAUGUAUUCA